GGUGCCGCAGUAAACACAAUAAGUACUCCGCCUGGGGAGUACGGUCGCAAGACUGAAACUCAAAGGAAUUGACGGGGGCCCGCACAAGCGGUGGAGCAUGUGGUUUAAUUCGACGCAACGCGAAGAACCUUACCAAGACUUGACAUCCUCUUGACGGGAUAUGUAAUGUAUCCUUUUCCUCGGAACAAGAGAGACAGGUGGUGCAUGGUUGUCGUCAGCUCGUGUCGUGAGAUGUUGGGUUAAGUCCCGCAACGAGCGCAACCCUUGUUGUUAGUUGCCAUCAUUGAGUUGGGCACUCUAACAAGACUGCCGGUGACAAACCGGAGGAAGGUGGGGAUGACGUCAAAUCAUCAUGCCCCUUAUGUCUUGGGCUACACACGUGCUACAAUGGUCGGUACAGAGGGCAGCAAGAGAGUGAUCUUGAGCGAAUCUCAAAAAGCCGAUCCCAGUUCGGAUUGUAGGCUGCAACUCGCCUACAUGAAGUCGGAAUCGCUAGUAAUCGCAGGUCAGCAUACUGCGGUGAAUACGUUCCCGGGCCU
rnacentral:rRNA from 1 species